rnacentral:lncRNA from 1 species
UAUAUGAUAUCUGCGAGUUGAGUUAGAAUACAUCUAAAAGUAUCCAUCCAUCAAUUCUUUUAGAUUUUAAUCCUUAGAUCUAUUCCUUAACUCCUUUGAUCAAAUACUACUACAUCUAUCACCAUUCAAUUUAAGUGGACUACUAUCAUUCUAACCCUACAACACCUUCAUCCAAAGACUACAAAUCUAAAAGUACCAAUUUUUUACUGCUUUUAGAAGUGUUCUAGCUCAAUUCGAUAAUUGUUAUUAUUUUAGUAAUUUUUUGUUUAACAAAUAGUAUGAGUAGAAUUACUAUACUUUGGAAGUGUAAGGAAGUUAAUAUUUUUAAUUUUUUGACUCUUGAAUCAAACAUUUUGAUUAUUUCUGAUCUUUAGAUUAAUAUUAUUAUUUUAUGAGAAACACUCAAUCUUAAGGGAGACUACGAUCAUUCCGAUCUUACAAUUCUUAAUUCAAUAGUCAAAAAGUCGGAAGCAUCAACUUUCUUAUAUUUUUGAAAGUAUAGCAACUCUACUCUAAAUAGUAGUUGUUCUAACGCUGUCAUUUCUUUUUGACUACUUGAUCUCUAUAUGAUAAUUUUGAAAAAUAUAAAUAUU